rnacentral:rRNA from 1 species
UACGUAGGGUGCAAGCGUUAAUCGGAAUUACUGGGCGUAAAGCGUGCGCAGGAGGUUUUGUAAGUCUGUCGUGAAAGCCCCGGGCUCAACCUGGGAAUUGCGAUGGAGACUGCAAGGCUUGAAUCUGGCAGAGGGGGGUAGAAUUCCACGUGUAGCAGUGAAAUGCGUAGAGAUGUGGAGGAACACCGAUGGCGAAGGCAGCCCCCUGGGUCAAGAUUGACGCUCAUGCACGAAAGCGUGGGGAGCAAACAGG